rnacentral:rRNA from 1 species
AUUGAGCGCUGGCGGCAGGCCUAACACAUGCAAGUCGAGCGGAUGAAGGGAGCUUGCUCCUGGAUUCAGCAGCGGACGGGUGAGUAAUGCCUAGGAAUCUGCCUGGUAGUGGGGGAUAACGUCCGGAAACGGGCGCUAAUACCGCAUACGUCCUGAGGGAGAAAGUGGGGGAUCUUCGGACCUCACGCUAUCAGAUGAGCCUAGGUCGGAUUAGCUAGUUGGUGGGGUAAAGGCCUACCAAGGCGACGAUCCGUAACUGGUCUGAGAGGAUGAUCAGUCACACUGGAACUGAGACACGGUCCAGACUCCUACGGGAGGCAGCAGUGGGGAAUAUUGGACAAUGGGCGAAAGCCUGAUCCAGCCAUGCCGCGUGUGUGAAGAAGGUCUUCGGAUUGUAAAGCACUUUAAGUUGGGAGGAAGGGCAGUAAGUUAAUACCUUGCUGUUUUGACGUUACCAACAGAAUAAGCACCGGCUAACUUCGUG